AACGUAGGUGGCAAGCGUUAUCCGGAUUCACUGGGCGUAAAGCGCACGCAGGCGGCGCGGUUGGUAGGGCAUGAAACCUCCCGGCUUAACUGGGAGACGCUGUCCUAUACCGCCGCGCUUGAGGCUGGAAGAGGGAAGUGGAAUUGCCGGUGUAGUGGUGAAAUGCGUAGAGAUCGGCAGGAACACCAGUGGCGAAGGCGGCUCGCUGGGACGGUACUGACGCUGAGACGCGAAAGCGUGGGGAGCAAACAGG
rnacentral:rRNA from 1 species